UUCCCCUGGUUAUACACAACAAUCACAUUCACCAACUUCAAACCCGACACCUCAGAGGCCUGAGGCAGCACAUGGCACAAAGCCGCUGUUUUCCUCUGUUCAUACACAACAACCAUACUCACCAACUUCAAACUCGAUACCUCAAAGGAAAGAAAACUACCCUGAAACAACUCAUGGACCAAGGCCUCUGUUUUCCCCUGGUUAUACACAACAAUCACAUUCACCAACACCUCAGAGGAAAGAAAGCCAUCCUGAGGCAGCACACGGCACAAAGCCUCUGUUUACCCCUAUUCAUACACAGAAACCAUAUUCACCAACUUCAAACCCGAUACCUCAAAGGAAAGAGAACUACCCUGAAACAACUCAUGGACCAAGGCCUCUGUUUACCCCUAUUCAUACACAGAAACCAUAUUCACCAACUUCAAACCCGAUACCUCAAAGGAAAGAAAGCUACUCUGAAACAGCACACGGCACAAAGCCUCUGUUUACCCCUGUUCAUACACAGCAACCAUAUUCACCAACUUCAAACCCGAUACCUCAAAGGAAAGAAAGCUACCCUGAAACAGCACACGGUGCAAAGCCUUUGUUUUCCUCUGGUUAUACACCACAAUCACAUCCACCAACUUCAAACCCAACACCUCAAAGGAAAGAAAGCUACCCAGAAACAACACACGAUACAAACCCUAUGUUUUCCCCUGUUUCUACACAACAAUCAACUGCAAAUCCGACCUCUCAAAACAACGAAAGUCAGCCAAAGAAGAAAAAAGGUUGGACAUCUCUGUUUUCCUC
rnacentral:lncRNA from 1 species